GCGGCAGGCCUAACACAUGCAAGUCGAGCGCACCGCAAGGUGAGCGGCGGACGGGUGAGUAACGCGUGGGAACGUGCCCUUUGGUACGGAAUAGCCUCGGGAAACUGGGAGUAAUACCGUAUGAGCUCUUCGGAGGAAAGAUUUAUCGCCAAAGGAUCGGCCCGCGUUGGAUUAGGUAGUUGGUGGGGUAACGGCCUACCAAGCCGACGAUCCAUAGCUGGUUUGAGAGGAUGAUUAGCCACACUGGGACUGAGACACGGCCCAGACUCCUACGGGAGACAGCAGUGGGGAAUCUUAGACAAUGGGGGCAACCCUGAUCUAGCCAUGCCGCGUGAGUGACGAAGGCCUUCGGGUUGUAAAGCUCUUUCAGUGGGGAAGAUAAUGACGGUACCCACAGAAGAAGCCCCGGCUAACUCCGUGCCAGCAGCCGCGGUAAUACGGAGGGGGCUAGCGUUGUUCGGAAUUACUGGGCGUAAAGCGCACGUAGGCG
rnacentral:rRNA from 1 species